AAAAAACGAAUGAAAAUGGCAUGGACAAAAAUGAUGGAACCCAUAACCUAAUAUUUUGUUGCACAACCUUUAGAGGCAAUCAUUGCAAUUAAAAUGUUUUCUGUAGCUCUCAAUGAGACAUCUGCACCUGUUAACAGGUAGUUUGGCCCACUCUUCCUGAGCAAACUGCUCCAGCUGUCUCAGGUUUGAUGGGUGCCUUCUGCACCUGUUAACAGGUAGUUUGGCCCACUCUUCCUGAGCAAACUGCCCCAGCUGUCUCAGGGUACCUUCUGCACCUGUUAACAGGUAGUUUUAGCCCACUCUUCCUGAGCAAACUGCUCCAGCUGUCUCAGGUUUGAUGGGUGCCUUCUGCACCUGUUAACAGGUAGUUUAGCCCACUCUUCCUGAGCAAACUGCUCCAGCUGUCUCAGGUUUGAUGGGUGCCUUCUGCACCUGUUAACAGGUAGUUUGGCCCACUCUUCCUGGGCAAACUACCCCAGCUGUCUCAGGGUACCUUCUGUACCUGUUAACAGGUAGUUUAGCCCACUCUUCCUGAGCAAACUGCUCCAGCUGUCUCAGGUUUGAUGGGUGCCUUCUCCAGACUGCAAGUUUCAGCUCUUUCCAUAGAUGUUCGAUAGGAUUCAGAUCAGGACUCAUAGAAGGCCACUUCACAAUAGUCCAAUGUUUUGUUCUUAUCCAUUCUUGGGUGCUUUUAGCUGUGUGUUUUGGGUCAUUAUCCUGUUGAAGAACCAAUGACCUGUGACUGAGACAGAGCUUUCUGACACUGGGCAGUACGUUUCGCUACAGAAUGCCUUGAUAGUCUUGAUUUCAUUGUACCCUGCACAGAUUCAAGGUACCCUGUGCCAGGCGCAGCAAAGCAGCCCCAAAACAUAACCCAGCCUCCUCCAUGUUUCACUGUAGGUAUGGUGUUCUUUCCUUUGAAAGCUUAAUGUUUUCGUCUGUGAACAUAGAGCUGAUGUGACUGGCCAGAAAGCUCCAGUUUUGAUUCAUCUGUCUGAAGGACAUUCUCCCAGAAGGCUGGUGGCUUGUCAAUAUGUAGUCUGUCUUUUUUAUGUUUUUCUUUCAAAAGUGGAGUUCUGAUGGGUCUUCUUCC
rnacentral:lncRNA from 1 species